GAGAGGAGGAAGGAGACGGACAGAGAGAGAAGGAGGAAGGAGACGGAGAGAUUUUUAGUGGGAAGUUCAUAGAUCUCUAAGAUCUGAGAAUCCCUCCGAGGCAGUACUGUUGAAAAGAGAAGAAAAACGCAAAAUCGGGAUGUCACUGAUUAGAUGGAUUGUAGUUAUUUUAGCCGUCGUUAAGAUAUCCGCUGAAGAUAAUGUUGAUUGUGUUGAUGUAUAUAACCAACGGGCGUUUGAUCAGAUCUUUUAAAACAUCACAAGAUUCAGGUAA